GGGGAUUUAGCUCAGCGGUAGAGCGCUUGCCUAGCACGCACAAGGCCCUGGGUUCAGUCCCCAGCUCCG
rnacentral:tRNA from 1 species